rnacentral:rRNA from 1 species
CCUACGGGUGGCUGCAGUCGAGAAUCAUUCACAAUGGGGGAAACCCUGAUGGUGCGACGCCGCGUGGGGGAAUGAAGGUCUUCGGAUUGUAAACCCCUGUCAUGUGGGAGCAAAUUAAAAAGAUAGUACCACAAGAGGAAGAGACGGCUAACUCUGUGCCAGCAGCCGCGGUAAUACAGAGGUCUCAAGCGUUGUUCGGAAUCACUGGGCGUAAAGCGUGCGGAGGCUGUUGCGUAAGUCGUGGGUGAAAGGCGCGGGCUCAACCCGCGGACUGCACAUGAGACUGCGAGACUAGCGGAAUGGAGGGGGAACCGGAAUUCUCGGUGUAGCAGUGAAGUGCGUAGAUAUCGAGAGGAACACUCGUGGCGAAGGCGGGUUCCUGGACAUUAACUGACGCUGAGGCACGAAGGCCAGGGGAGCGAAAGGGAUUAGAUACCCCAGUAGUC